UACGUAGGGUGCAAGCGUUAAUCGGAAUUACUGGGCGUAAAGCGUGCGUAGACGGUUAUGUAAGUCGGGUGUGAAAGCCCCGGGCUCAACCUGGGAAUGCCAUUCGAGACUGCAUAGCUAGGGUGCGGAAGAGGGAAGCGGAAUUUCCGGUGUAGCGGUGAAAUGCUUAGAUAUGACAUAGAACACCAAUUGCGAAGGCAGCUGGCUACAGGUACAUUGACACUGAGGCACGAAAGCGUGGGGAUCAAACAGG
rnacentral:rRNA from 1 species